CAGUAACGGCGAGUGAAGCGGCAACAGCUCAAAUUUGAAAUCUGGCUCCUUCGGGGUCCGAAUUGUAAUUUGUAGAGAGUGCUUCGGGCGAGACCGCGGUCUAAGUCCAUUGGAACAUGGUGUCAUAGAGGGUGAGAAUCCCGUAUGCGACCGUGGCUCGAGCCCAUGUGAAGCCUCUUCGACGAGUCGAGUUGUUUGGGAAUGCAGCUCAAAAUGGGUGGUAAAUUUCAUCUAAAGCUAAAUACUGGCUGGAGACCGAUAGCGCACAAGUAGAGUGAUCGAAAGAUGAAAAGCACUUUGGAAAGAGAGUCAAACAGUACGUGAAAUUGUUGAAAGGGAAGCGCUUGCAACCAGACCUGCCCGUAGGCGAUCAGCCGCUGUUCUCAGCGGUGUACUCGCUCUGCGAUCAGGCCAGCAUCGGUUUCGGCGGUCGGAUAAAGGCCUUGGGAAUGUAGCUUCCCUUCGGGGGAGUCUUAUAGCCCUCGGUGCAAUGCGGCCAGCCGGGACCGAGGACCGCGCUUCGGCUAGGAUGCUGGCGUAAUGGUUGUAAGCGACCCGUCUUGAAACACGGACCAAGGAGUCUAACAUCUAUGCGAGUGUUUGGGUUUCAAACCCAUGCGCGGAAUGAAAGUGAACGGAGGUGAGAACCCUUAAGGGCGCAUCAUCGACCGAUCCAGAUGUCUUCGGAUGGAUUUGAGUAUGAGCAUAGCUGUUGGGACCCGAAAGAUGGUGAACUAUGCCUGAAUAGGGUGAAGCCAGAGGAAACUCUGGUGGAGGCUCGCAGCGGUUUCUGACGUGCAAAUCGAUCGUCAAAUUUGGGUAUAGGGGCGAAAGACUAAUC
rnacentral:rRNA from 1 species